GAGAGUUUGAUCCUGGCUCAGGACGAACGCUGGCGGCGUGCCUAAUACAUGCAAGUCGAACGCUUCUUUUUCCACCGGAGCUUGCUCCACCGGAAAAAGAGGAGUGGCGAACGGGUGAGUAACACGUGGGUAACCUGCCCAUCAGAAGGGGAUAACACUUGGAAACAGGUGCUAAUACCGUAUAACAAUCAAAACCGCAUGGUUUUGAUUUGAAAGGCGCUUUCGGGUGUCGCUGAUGGAUGGACCCGCGGUGCAUUAGCUAGUUGGUGAGGUAACGGCUCACCAAGGCCACGAUGCAUAGCCGACCUGAGAGGGUGAUCGGCCACAUUGGGACUGAGACACGGCCCAAACUCCUACGGGAGGCAGCAGUAGGGAAUCUUCGGCAAUGGACGAAAGUCUGACCGAGCAACGCCGCGUGAGUGAAGAAGGUUUUCGGAUCGUAAAACUCUGUUGUUAGAGAAGAACAAGGAUGAGAGUAACUGUUCAUCCCUUGACGGUAUCUAACCAGAAAGCCACGGCUAACUACGUGCCAGCAGCCGCGGUAAUACGUAGGUGGCAAGCGUUGUCCGGAUUUAUUGGGCGUAAAGCGAGCGCAGGCGGGUUCUUAAGUCUGAUGUGAAAGCCCCCGGCUCAACCGGGGAGGG
rnacentral:rRNA from 1 species